GAUGAACGCUAGCUACAGGCUUAACACAUGCAAGUCGAGGGGCAGCAUGAACAUAGCUUGCUAUGUUUGAUGGCGACCGGCGCACGGGUGCGUAACACGUAUCCAAUCUGCCCGUUACUCGGGGAUAGCCUUCUGAAAGGAAGAUUAAUACCCGAUGGCAUUCAUUGGCGGCAUCGCUUUUGAAUUAAAGAUUUAUCGGUAACGGAUGAGGAUGCGUACGAUUAGCUGGUUGGCGGGGUAACGGCCCACCAAGGCAACGAUCGUUAGGGGUUCUGAGAGGAAGGUCCCCCACACUGGAACUGAGACACGGUCCAGACUCCUACGGGAGGCAGCAGUGAGGAAUAUUGGUCAAUGGGCGAGAGCCUGAACCAGCCAAGUAGCGUGAAGGAUGACUGCCCUACGGGUUGUAAACUUCUUUUGUUUGGGAGUAAAAGACGCUACGUGUAGCGUUCUGCAUGUACCUUACGAAUAAGCAUCGGCUAAUUCCGUGCCAGCCGCCGCGGUAAUAC
rnacentral:rRNA from 1 species